rnacentral:rRNA from 1 species
CUAAGGCUCCAGAGGAAGCCACGGCUAACUCUGUGCCAGCAGCCGCGGUAAUACAGAGGCGGCAAGCGUUGUUCGGAAUUAUUGGGCGUAAAGAGCACGUAGGCGGCCUUGCAAGUCAGUUGUGAAAGCCUUCCGCUUAACGGAAGAAUGCCAGCUGAUACUACAGGGCUUGAGUACGGAAGGGGAGAGUGGAACUUCUGGUGGAGCGGUGAAAUGCGUAGAUAUCAGAAGGAACGCCGGCGGCGAAAGCGACUCUCUGGCCCGAAACUGACGCUGAGUGUGCGAAAGCUAGGGGAGCAAACGGGAUUAGAUACCCCGGUAGUCCUAGCCGUAAA